CUAGGCCACAUCACCUUUCCCAAUGCCUGAUCUCAUCAGAUCUCCAAAGCUAAGCAGGCUUGGGCCUGUUAGUAUUGGGAUAGGAGACCACUAAGAAGGCAGGAGUAGUUCUGA
rnacentral:rRNA from 1 species